AGUGAACGCUGGCGGCAGGCCUAACACAUGCAAGUCGAGCGGCAGCACAGGCGUAGCAAUACGUUGGGUGGCGAGCGGCGGACGGGUGAGGAACACAUCGGAAUCUACCCUGUCGUGGGGGACAACGUAGGGAAACUUACGCUAAUACCGCAUACGACCUUUGGGUGAAAGUGGGGGACCGCAAGGCCUCACGCGAUUGGAUGAGCCGAUGUCCGAUUAGCUAGUUGGCGGGGUAAGAGCCCACCAAGGCGACGAUCGGUAGCUGGUCUG
rnacentral:rRNA from 1 species